UGAGGAAUAUUGGUCAAUGGACGGGAGUCUGAACCAGCCAAGUAGCGUGCAGGAUGACGGCCUUAUGGGUUGUAAACUGCUUUUGUGCGGGGAUAAAGUGUGGGACGCGUCCCAUAUUGCAGGUACCGCAUGAAUAAGGACCGGCUAAUUCCGUGCCAGCAGCCGCGGUAAUACGGAAGGUCCGGGCGUUAUCCGGAUUUAUUGGGUUUAAAGGGAGCGUAGGCCGGAGAUUAAGCGUGUUGUGAAAUGCCGCGGCUCAACCGUGGCACUGCAGCGCGAACUGGUUUUCUUGAGUACGCACAACGUGGGCGGAAUUCGUGGUGUAGCGGUGAAAUGCUUAGAUAUCACGAAGAACUCCGAUUGCGAAGGCAGCUCACGGGAGCGCAACUGACGCUGAAGCUCGAAAGUGCGGGGUAUCGAACA
rnacentral:rRNA from 1 species